AGGGGACUGGGGUAACGGUAGCCCUCGAGUCUCUGAAACUCGCCGUGCUGGUUCGAAUCCAGCGUCCCCUG
rnacentral:tRNA from 1 species